UGCCAGCAGCCGCGGUAAUACGAAGGGACCUAGCGUAGUUCGGAAUUACUGGGCUUAAAGAGUUCGUAGGUGGUUGAAAAAGUUGGUGGUGAAAUCCCAGAGCUUAACUCUGGAACUGCCAUCAAAACUUUUCAGCUAGAGUAUGAUAGAGGAAAGCAGAAUUUCUAGUGUAGAGGUGAAAUUCGUAGAUAUUAGAAAGAAUACCAAUUGCGAAGGCAGCUUUCUGGAUCAUUACUGACACUGAGGAACGAAAGUGUGGGGAGCAAACAGGAUUAGAUA
rnacentral:rRNA from 1 species